CAGUGAGGGGGAUGACAUAUUACUACAGAGCUCUCAAGAUGUUAGCAUUUCUUGAUUCAGCAUCUGAAAUUGACGUAGGUG
rnacentral:snoRNA from 1 species